rnacentral:snoRNA from 17 species
CUCAUAUGAUGAGGAAAUUAAACGGCGAUAUUGUACUUUCAUUAUCCCUACUUCUUAAUCUCUGAAAGUAUGUAUAUAAAAAUAAUGAAAGUGAAUGAGGGCCAAAAAAAUGAGUAGUUCUCAAUCUGAUAAAA